AGGAGAUUGUUGAUGGUGAGCCUCCUGUCUCUGAAAUUGAAGCUCGAUGGCCAGCACUUUUUUCAAAAAGACAGAUAAGUGCAGAGUUCAUGCGCUUGGUUUCCUCUGAUCUCCACCAGUGUUUUUUUGAUGGACUGGACAAAUAUGUUCCAAAACUGCUGGAGAUGUACAGCAUACGAAGUCCAAGCUGUCCUAACCUGCGCCGUCUGCUUCAUUCCCUCGAUGAACAAACUUCAAACCAGAAGAGAAGAGCAGCUGUUUUGCUUGGACUUCCGCACUACCUGAGGGAGGACUCCAGCAGUUUCAUCUCUGUCUGUGAGACUACCAGCUCAGAAGGAGUAGCAAGACAAGUGGACAUUGGCCUGCUCAUUGUUGCAGAGGAUGGUGGAAGUGGAAAACAAUUGCUGGCUUUGAACAUUGUUGAUGUCGCCGUGGUGCUGGAGGAAAGAGUCAUCGUGCAAGAGCUAAAGGAUGUUCCCAAAGCCUUUGCAACGCUGAUGGGACUCCUCUACAGCCUCAACAUGAUGUACCCUAAAGGACUAAAAUAUACCUUUGAAGUCAUCCAAAAAGUAUUCAUGCAUGGGCAUCGGCAGUGCGACUUGUUCAGCCAAAGUCAAUGGACUCCGGAACAAGAUGCUUCAAGCAUAGGCAAGUUGAUGGCUAUCACGUGAUCUGAAUACUUGUUCAUAUACAUUACAAUUACAUAACACACUCUCAAACAUCAUAAACACCACUAUUAAAUAAAAACAUAUCAUAAACACAAACACAAGAUCAACACAUGCAUCAUAAACACCACCAUCAGUUAUGAAUGUUGAUGUAGCAGGAUUUAAUUUGCUCAUUAAAUUGUAUUUAAAAAAGGCCUUUACAAGUUCUGUUUAUAUUGUGUUUCACAUGUUAGGCCUUUUUUAUUUUGCAGGAUUUCAUUGUUAUUUAAAUUGUAUUUUUUAAAAGCCUUUAAAAGUUGUGUUUAAAUUGUGUUUCACAUGUUAGGCUUUCUUUAUUUCGCAGGAUUUCAUUGCUCUUUAAAUUGUAUUUUUUAAAAGCCUUUAAAAGUUGUGUUUAAAUUGUGUUUCAC